rnacentral:rRNA from 1 species
AUGAACGCUAGCUACAGGCUUAACACCUGCAAGUCGAGGGGCAGCAUGGUCUUAGCUUGCUAAGGCCGAUGGCGACCGGCGCACGGGUGAGUAACACGUAUCCAACCUGCCGUCUACUCUUGGACAGCCUUCUGAAAGGAAGAUUAAUACAAGAUGGCAUCAUGAGUCCGCAUGUUCACAUGAUUAAAGGUAUUCCGGUAGACGAUGGGGAUGCGUUCCAUUAGAUAGUAGGCGGGGUAACGGCCCACCUAGUCUUCGAUGGAUAGGGGUUCUGAGAGGAAGGUCCCCCACAUUGGAACUGAGACACGGUCCAAACUCCUACGGGAGGCAGCAGUGAGGAAUAUUGAUCAAUGGGCGCAGGCCUGAACCAGCCAAGUAGCGUGAAGGAUGACUGCCCUAUGGGUUGUAAACUUCUUUUAUAAAGGAAUAAAGUCGGGUAUGUAUACCCGUUUGCAUGUACUUUAUGAAUAAGGAUCGGCUAACUCCGUG